UCGAUGAAACUGAACCUUUUCGAUGGGAUGCCAUUGAAAACGAACCGGCUAAUCUUCUGUAAUGCUAUUAUGAGGAUUGCCCUUUGAGGCUUAUAGCAAUAGGUCGCCCUAUGGUCGGUUACAUGCUUUUGUUGA
ncrna:unclassified sequences Staphylococcus-1 RNA